AUGGUGGUGGAUCUGACCCCGAGGCAGCCGGCCAAGGCCUAUGGCGGCGAGGGCGGCGCCUACUAUGUGUGGAGCCCUGCGGAGCUACCCAUGCUUGGCGUCGUCUUCAUCGGUGCCGCCAAGAUCUCCCUCAUGGCAGACGCGGCUGGGCAUCACGCUGGACUGCGCCCACGCGCUGGAGUUCCUCCACGAGCACACCUCCCCCGUCGUCAUCCACCACGACUUCAACUGCAGCAUCGUCCUCAUCGUCCACAUCGAAUUCCGUAG
rnacentral:rRNA from 1 species